GACGAACGCUGGCGGCGUGCUUAACACAUGCAAGUCGAACGGAAAGGCCCUGCUUUUGUGGGGUGCUUUAGUGGCGAACGGGUGAGUAAAACGUGAUUAACCUGCCUUUGACUUUGGGAUAACUUCAGGAAAUUGGGGCUAAUACCGGCUAGGAGCUCCUGCUGCAUGGUGGGGGUUGGAAAGUUUCGGCGGUUGGGGAUGGACUCGCGGCUUAUCAGCUUGUUGGUGGGGUAGUGGCUUACCAAGGCUUUGACGGGUAGCCGGCCUGAGAGGGUGACCGGCCACAUUGGGACUGAGAUACGGCCCAGACUCCUACGGGAGGCAGCAGUGGGGAAUAUUGCACAAUGGGCGGAAGCCUGAUGCAGCAACGCCGCGUGCGGGAUGACGGCCUUCGGGUUGUAAACCGCUUUCGCCUGUGACGAAGCGUGAGUGGCGGUAAUGGGUAAAGAAGCACCGGCUAACUACGUG
rnacentral:rRNA from 1 species